GUUGAAGAACGUAGUGAAAUGCGAUAAGUAAUGUGAAUUGCAGAAUUCCGUGAAUCAUCGAAUCUUUGAACGCACAUUGCGCCCCCUGGCAUUCCGGGGGGCAUGCCUGUCCGAGCGUCAUUUCUGCCCUCACGCACGGCUUGUGUGUUGGGUGUGGUCCCCCCGGGGACCUGCCCGAAAGGCAGCGGCGACGUCCGUCUGGUCCUCGAGCGUAUGGGGCUCUGUCACUCGCUCGGGAAGGACCUGCGGGGGUUGGUCACCACCAUGUUUUACCACGGUUGACCUCGGAUCAGGUAGGAGUUACCCGCUGAACUUAAGCAUAUCAAUAAGCGGAGGA
rnacentral:misc_RNA from 1 species